CAGGCUUAACACAUGCAAGUCGAGGGGCAUCAGGAAGAAAGCUUGCUUUCUUUGAUGGCGACCGGCGCACGGGUGAGUAACACGUAUCCAACCUGCCGUCUACUCUUGGACAGCCUUCUGAAAGGAAGAUUAAUACAAGAUGGCAUCAUGAGUCCGCAUGUUCACAUGAUUAAAGGUAUUCCGGUAGACGAUGGGGAUGCGUUCCAUUAGAUAGUAGGCGGGGUAACGGCCCACCUAGUCUUCGAUGGAUAGGGGUUCUGAGAGGAAGGUCCCCCACAUUGGAACUGAGACACGGUCCAAACUCCUACGGGAGGCAGCAGUGAGGAAUAUUGGUCAAUGGGCGAGAGCCUGAACCAGCCAAGUAGCGUGAAGGAUGACUGCCCUAUGGGUUGUAAACUUCUUUUAUAAAGGAAUAAAGUCGGGUAUGCAUACCCGUUUGCAUGUACUUUAUGAAUAAGGAUCGGCUAACUCCGUGCCAGCAGCCGCGGUAAUACGGAGGAUCCGAGCGUUAUCCGGAUUUAUUGGGUUUAAAGGGAGCGUAGAUGGAUGUUUAAGUCAGUUGUGAAAGUUUGCGGCUCAACCGUAAAAUUGCAGUUGAUACCGGAUAUCUUGAGUGCAGUUGAGGCAGGCGGAAUUCGUGGUGUAGCGGUGAAAUGCUUAGAUAUCACGAAGAACUCCGAUUGCGAAGGCAGCCUGCUAAGCUGCAACUGACAUUGAGGCUCGAAAGUGUGGGUAUCAAACAGGAUUAGAUACCCUGGUAGUCCACACGGUAAACGAUGAAUACUCGCUGUUUGCGAUAUACGGCAAGCGGCCAAGCGAAAGCGUUAAGUAUUCCACCUGGGGAGUACGCCGGCAACGGUGAAACUCAAAGGAAUUGACGGGGGCCCGCACAAGCGGAGGAACAUGUGGUUUAAUUCGAUGAUACGCGAGGAACCUUACCCGGGCUUAAAUUGCAGAUGAAUUACGGUGAAAGCCGUAAGCCGCAAGGCAUCUGUGAAGGUGCUGCAUGGUUGUCGUCAGCUCGUGCCGUGAGGUGUCGGCUUAAGUGCCAUAACGAGCGCAACCCUUGUUGUCAGUUACUAACAGGUUCCGCUGAGGACUCUGACAAGACUGCCAUCGUAAGAUGUGAGGAAGGUGGGGAUGACGUCAAAUCAGCACGGCCCUUACGUCCGGGGCUACACACGUGUUACAAUGGGGGGUACAGAGGGCCGCUACCACGCGAGUGGAUGCCAAUCCCAAAAACCUCUCUCAGUUCGGACUGGAGUCUGCAACCCGACUCCACGAAGCUGGAUUCGCUAGUAAUCGCGCAUCAGCCACGGCGCGGUGAAUACGUUCCCGGGCCUUGUACACACCGCCCGUCAAGCCAUGGGAGCCGGGGGUACCUGAAGUGCGUAACCGCGAGGAGCGCCCUAGGGUAAAACUGGUGACUGAGGCUAAGUCAUAACAA
rnacentral:rRNA from 1 species